CGUUUUUUGGGGAGCUUCCUUUCUUGUGUGCAAGGAAGAUUAAUCAGGUAUAGCUCAGGAAUGCCUUUAGCAUCCUACACAGUGAGGGCUGUGAAGUGCUUUAGUCUUGAAAUUGCUAUGGAGUCAGUGCCUUUCUUUAAAAGUGAAAAUUAUUAAUCUGGAUCACAAGAAGGCUUGGAUUUUUGGAACUGGGAUAAUCUCAUGCAACUGAAGAUGUUCAUGAAGUCACAGCUGGAACCACUGAUGGAGCACCUGGUGAAAGGGUGUAGCCAGCUCUGGGAACACAGGUGGAAACAAUUCCUCCUAACCUCAUAUAAUGGCUGGCAGCUGGGAAAAACUUCUACUUCGAAAUCAUCUCCUUUGGAGUGUUUGGUGCUUUAUCCUUGGAAUGGGGUGAUCUGUGACCUCUUAUGCUUCCUUCGUCUGGUGCAGGAGUACAGAGUACUCCUGUCCCACACAGUAAUUCAGAAAUCAGUUGUUCAUAUAAACAGCUUCUGAAUAUUCCAUCUGAACUAUUUUACUGAAAAGGCCGGUGGUUCUCUUUCUCCAGCUGCCUUCAUUACAACUAUCCUUUGGAAGUUCUGCAGUAGAUAUCUUGGUGUUUUUUCCUGCCCUUGGACUUUCCCUGAUCAGUGGAACAGUGCCUGACUCACAUACAUCUUGGUCUAAUGUGUAUAUCCUACCUUUUGCCUAAGAUGAUUCUGAGGGUAAUCUUGGACUCUUCCAGACUUUAUUUUUGUCCUAAUAAAAUAAUUAAAUUCACCUUAA